UGCUUGACUAAUAGCAUUUCUUUCCAUUCUUUGGUUCUCUAUGUCCAUUUUUCUUUCUGGGUUGUCUUCAUUUUCCCUCAUGGAUAUCAAAGUUUUCGAGAUUUUUGAGAUUUCCUCCAUAUGCAUGUACAGGCAAAGAAUACAAUGGGGGGUUGCUCAAAGUAAUCUAAUUUAAAGAGGGGGAGUAGAAUUAGAGGUUGAGAAUCUCUGCACGAAGACAUGAACAGCUUUCCAACAAAGAUAUCUACUGUUCAGUUGAACAUUAUCCUGAAAAAAUCUACUACAAAGAUGGUGAUGUAUCAGAGAAUUCCGUAAAGCAAACAAGUCAAAAACUAGCUGCUACUUUUGUUUUUUUCUACUCCAGAACUUGAGACGUCUCCUCUCUCUCAAGGGCAAGCUUGCUUCAACUGAGUAAAGGAAGAAAGAAGAACCAUUAUCAGCAAUGGCAUUAUAAUGAUCAUUUUACUACCUCAUCUAAUUAAUUUUCUAUUCACAGUUGAUCGACACAAAAAUCUGUACGUCGUGGCAAAACAAAAAGAAAGAAUUGGAAGGGUAAAUGGAGGCUUGAUCAUCGUGAAACCAGGCAAUUGUGAUCAUGACAAUCACCUUCCAUUUCACAUGCCAACCAUAUUCACUUGAAGAUGGUGGGCCUCUGCUUUGCCCAUGAUUUCUACUGCUCAUCAUGGUUGGAAGAUUUAACUAUUUUCUUGCUAAACAUAAGUGAUGAUCAGGUCAGUUCAAAAUCUUUUUCUUGUUUUCCAAAAUUAUAAAAUAAAUUAGCUGUGUUUUCAAUCAUUUCAGCUUACGUAUGUGAUGUUAUAGCAUUCAUUUUAUAUCCACUCGUGCAAGAUAUCGGUUCUGGGGUUUUAGUGCUCUUAUUAUUAGUAAGAUCAAAAUAACAACUGAUGUCUAGUGAGGUAUGAAUUCAAAGAAUUUUAUCCACAGCCAAUGAAUUCCUCUCUCUUAAUUAAAAAUACAAAAAU